UUAGUUCAGCAUGGGGAGAUAUCGGAUCCGCCUGGCUCCUUGUAUGCCAACUGAGAAGCUUGUUGAACAUUUUGCCAGGAUUCAUAGCUGGCACUCAGGGAGUCAAGCAGGCCAUUGGUCUUGCCAUGACUUUCAC
rnacentral:pre_miRNA from 1 species